rnacentral:rRNA from 1 species
GACAGAGGGUGCAAACGUUGUUCGGAAUUACUGGGCGUAAAGCGCGUGUAGGCGGCCCUGCAAGUCGGAUGUGAAAUCCCACGGCUCAACCGUGGAAGUGCAUUCGAAACUGCAGGGCUAGAGUCCUGGAGAGGAGAGUGGAAUUCCCAGUGUAGAGGUGAAAUUCGUAGAUAUUGGGAAGAACACCGGUGGCGAAGGCGGCUCUCUGGACCGAUACUGACGCUGAGGCGCGAAAGCGUGGGGAGCAAACAGGG